AGCGAACGCUGGCGGCAGGCCUAACACAUGCAAGUCGAACGAACCUUUCGGGGUUAGUGGCGGACGGGUGAGUAACACGUGGGAACGUGCCUUUAGGUUCGGAAUAACUCAGGGAAACUUGUGCUAAUACCGAAUGUGCCCUUCGGGGGAAAGAUUUAUCGCCUUUAGAGCGGCCCGCGUCUGAUUAGCUAGUUGGUUGAGGUAAUGGCUCACCAAGGCGACGAUCAGUAGCUGGUCUGAGAGGAUGAUCAGCCACAUUGGGACUGAGACACGGCCCAAACUCCUACGGAAGGCAGCAGUGGGGAAUCUUGCGCAAUGGGCGAAAGCCUGACGCAGCCAUGCCGCGUGAAUGAUGAAGGUCUUAGGAUUGUAAAAUUCUUUCACCGGGGACGAUAAUGACGGUACCCGGAGAAGAAGCCCCGGCUAACUUCGUG
rnacentral:rRNA from 1 species